rnacentral:pre_miRNA from 1 species
GGACAAACUUUGUUCAGUAUUGGUGCUUGUUUUCUGCAUCACUGGGUAAAGUUUGUCCCA